rnacentral:rRNA from 1 species
AUUGAACGCUGGCGGCAGGCCUAACACAUGCAAGUCGAGCGGAUGAGUGGAGCUUGCUCCAUGAUUCAGCGGCGGACGGGUGAGUAAUGCCUAGGAAUCUGCCUGGUAGUGGGGGGACAACGUUUCGAAAGGAACGCUAAUACCGCAUACGUCCUACGGGAGAAAGCAGGGGACCUUCGGGCCUUGCGCUAUCAGAUGAGCCUAGGUCGGAUUAGCUAGUAGGUGAGGUAAUGGCUCACCUAGGCGACGAUCCGUAACUGGUCUGAGAGGAUGAUCAGUCACACUGGAACUGAGACACGGUCCAGACUCCUACGGGAGGCAGCAGUGGGGAAUAUUGGACAAUGGGCGAAAGACCUGAUCCAGCCAUGCCGCGUGUGUGAAGAAGGUCUUCGGAUUGUAAAGCACUUUAAGUUGGGAGGAAGGGCGAGUAAGUUAA